rnacentral:rRNA from 1 species
UACGUAGGGUGCGAGCGUUGUCCGGAAUUAUUGGGCGUAAAGGGCUCGUAGGCGGUUUGUCGCGUCGGGAGUGAAAAGCUGGGGCUUAACCCCAGUCCUGCUUCCGAUACGGGUGGACUAGAGGUAGGUAGGGGAGAUCGGAAUUCCUGGUGUAGCGGUGAAAUGCGCAGAUAUCAGGAGGAACACCGGUGGCGAAGGCGGAUCUCUGGGCCUUACCUGACGCUGAGGAGCGAAAGCAUGGGGAGCAAACAGG